rnacentral:rRNA from 1 species
GUCCACACCGUAAACGAUGAUUACUAGGUGUUGGAGGAUUGACCCUUUCAGUGCCGCAGUUAACACAAUAAGUAAUCCACCUGGGGAGUACGACCGCAAGGUUGAAACUCAAAGGAAUUGACGGGGGCCCGCACAAGCAGUGGAGUAUGUGGUUUAAUUCGACGCAACGCGAAGAACCUUACCAAGUCUUGACAUCCCUUGACGAUGCUGGAAACAGCAUUUCCUUCGGAGCAAGGAGACAGGUGGUGCAUGGUUGUCGU